AACGAACGCUGGCGGCAUGCCUAACACAUGCACGUCGAACGAGACCUUCGGGUCUAUGGGCGCACGUGUGCGUAACGCGUGGGAACCUCCCCUUAAGUUCGGCAUAACUCCCCGAAAGGGAUUCCAAUACCGGAUGAUGUCUUCGGACCAAUGAGUUAUCGCCUUUGGAUGGGCCCGCGCUGGAUUAGCUAGUUGGUAGGGUAACAGCCUACCAAGGCGACGAUCCAUAGCUGGUCUGAGAGGAUGCUCUGCCACACUGGUACUGAGACACGGCCCAGACCCCUCCGUGAGGCAGCCGUGGGGAAUACUGGCCAAGGGGCGACAGCCUGAUCCAGCCUUGCCGCGUGCGUGAUGAAGGCCUUAGGGUUGUAAAGCUCCUUUGCCCGGGAUGAUACUGACCGUACCGGGAGAAUAAGCUCCGGCUACCCCCGUG
rnacentral:rRNA from 1 species